AAUACAAAUGAAUGGAGGUUGGGCUACGCCCACGCUUCCGUUUCCAAUCCCUUUCAUUUACUCUAUUAUCUAUGCUUUAAUUUCUUGACAGGAGACACGCCUACUAUAGGCGGGGUUGAUCAUGAUGAUCUAUAAUGACGUGAAGAUAUGCCAUAGAUGUAUCAAUAUCUGUACAAACUAUCAUUUUAGUAUGUAUAAUGGUGCAUCCAUAUAUGUAUGUAUAUCUAUAGCAUGUAUCCAAUGGCAGAGAAAGCUGUCUAUAUAAUACUUAUAUGUUUUGGCACUGUUCACACCCCAUAGUAUCGGCCUUUAAAGAUAUGCAAUACAUAUUUUAAAGUAAUAAUAGCAUGGAACUAACCACAUUCGUUCAUGAUUAAUCUAUGAUUAUCCAAAACACAACUUGACAACAAUGAUGUAUCAUCGUUGAUUAAGUAGUAGCACAAGUUCCCAAUAUCAUGAAGUGAGGGAUUAUUGUGCAGUCGUAUACCACCACUCACUGUCUCCAAUGAUGAAAGAUCAAUACUGACUAGACUUGUGUCAGAUAUUAUAAUAGAAUGAUUAAAGUAUUCACUCAACCCCUGGCAAGAUUGAGUUGAUAAUACUUGAACGGAGUUAGUUCCCACAGCUUUCAGGUUUGAUAGGUAUGCUCCCAAUUCUCAAUGAUGUGGUAAUUAUCAUGCACCCAGCAUAUGCUCCAGCAUUACUAUAAUCAAAAAUACCACCCACACAUUCUAUAAUCAAAAGUAUAAAAAGAAUGCAUUUCAUUGUUCCACGACUUGUGGGUACAGAUGUAUAAUUUGCUGGACAACUUUCAACACAAAUUGUACCAAACUCAAAGAGCAUAUCUGCUGCUGAGACAUAGUGGUUUAGCUUCAAACUUCAGGUCAGAAUUAGACCUAUUAACAACAUUGGGAAGUUCUUGAAUGAGACAUUCUUCAAGGCAUACACCAUCAUCUAAAACAUUUUUACAAGCCUAUCAAAGUCAACAGAGAUUGCAAUAACUGAUAUCUGAUCAUAAUUACUGUGAUGCUUUUUUCCAAAGUUUAUUUAGUCAUAAAAUGUUAGGCAUCAUAAAUUCAA